GACGAAGGGGGCUAGCGUUGUUCGGAAUUACUGGGCGUAAAGGGCUCGUAGGUGGCCAACUAAGUCAGACGUGAAAUCCCUCAGCUUAACCGGGGAACUGCGUCUGAUACUGGAUGGCUUGAGUUCGGGAGAGGGAUGCGGAAUUCCAGGUGUAGCGGUGAAAUGCGUAGAUAUCUGGAGGAACACCGGUGGCGAAGGCGGCAUCCUGGACCGACACUGACACUGAGGAGCGAAAGCCAGGGGAGCAAACGGG
rnacentral:rRNA from 1 species